AGUUGAUGCUUGCCUGUCCCAGUGGAAUUAAUGGAAGCUGUCAACAGCCCGCCCCCGACCUCACUGGAUAUAACUGUGUCCUCGGCAGACGAGAGAAUAACCAGAGGAAGGGCUGAAAAUCCUGGAGAACACCAACAUUAACAAGCUUCAGUUUGUCAGAACCAGUUGGGAUGCAACAGGAUUUUCAGUUUUGCUGCCUUCCAUGCAUGAAUGGCUGUUGGAAUGACCAAGAUGAUUUUUCCACCCAUUCUUGGGACCUGGACUAUGAUGGCCACAGCAGCUAAAGAUGCCAGGUUCUGCAUACUAUGAAACUACUACAUCAGCAGGUCCAAAGGACUCCACUGACUCAACUGAUCUGAGGGACCCCAUGAGAAGCCUACUCAUCAAAGAAUGCAGUUUCUAAAUCCUGAUGAGUUCACCCCCCUUGCCCUGACCAAUCAACAAUCCUAAUUCUCCAGUCCCUUGCCCUCCAUGAUCCUCUUAAAAACCCUAGCCCAGAAUUCCUCAGGAAGAUGGAUUUGAGGGUCUCCUUCCAACUCCUCACUCAGCGCCCUGUGGUCAUUAAACUUUCUCUGCUGCA